CACUGAGUGAACGUAAAACGGGAUGAAUUCUGGCAUUCACAGUGAAAGGUGCUCCUGUCUCAUUUCCUCGCUCCCGUCAACCACACAGUGAUUAACCCUACGCCCGAAACCCACGCCUUCCAUCAUUUAAGGAUCCAUAACAAGACAGAAGAUACCCAGCUAAUGGCUGCGGAUCAGAUGACAAAUGAUGACCCACGGACCAAAGACUGAAUGACACCCAUUUCCAGGCUGCCAUGGCACUAAGAGGGAUUUCUACAAAUUCCGAAUGAUCAGCGGCAAGGGAGAGACUGAAAGGAUAGCGUAACUGGUGAUGUGCAACAUUAACUGAAACCCAACUAUUCUUAUACAAAUGCAAAAUUGCAUUAAAACUAAGCCACAUUUGUGCCUAUGGCAGUGUUGGUGCUACAGCGGUGCCACUGUCUACCGUCUACACAGUCUAAGAGUAUAGCAUGCGUGAAAAGAAAUCCUCUACUGAUGGGAUGCUGAGUCUCAAGACUGGGUCCGACUCACAGCAUGGAACCAAGAACAUGGCUACAGGAGGGACUCUGCUGCCUUGCCACAGCACCAUCAACCUUUAACGCUGAAACCAUUAAGCAGUGGAAGAGGUCUUAGAUCAUUAGGGGAAGCCAUCAGAGAGUACUUUGGGAUAUUUGGCCAGUCCUGAGCACUUGAAGAUACAACCCUGCUACUGGAGAUGCUACACACUUUCGAUGGAGGAGGUGGGAGAAUGGGUCUGGAGCUGACUUUGAAGCCUCCUUCCUGAGGACUCACAUUCUUAGUGUCUGAAGGUGCUGUGCAAGCUGAUGGGGGAGAAAAAUAAUCACUAGUCCUACCCGAAUGGAAAGAUGGCUAACAACAGCAGUGACCAGCAUGGCAAAACAUCUCUAACGAUGUCAUAGUGGUGCUUAUUUCUUGGGAGUAACUGAGGAUCAUCUCAUUGGACUUAUCCCACUCAUUAAGAGGGAAUUCCUACCUGACAAUGUAAACCCAGAUAGUCACCCAUGACUUGUAAGGCCAUAAGCCCUAGAGGAAAACCUAUUACUGUCGCUUUUCUAAACCGGUAUCAUUUCUGACUGCAUUCUAAAUCCUUCCCUGUAGAUAAGUGUAGCUCUGACCCCUCAGCAAGGGAGCUUCUCUUUACAGGAGAUGGAGACAGUUACAGAGAUCCACCAUUGGAAGAAUGCAGAGAACCUCUGGCUGUGGGGUGCCCACCCCAACUGGCACAUCUAUAUCACACCUCCUAUACCUAAGGCUCAGGGAACAUCGCAGAAGCAGGCAGAGAGAUUCUAUGACUCAGGGCACUAGGAUAUCUGCUAUGAGAUCAGGUUUGCUAGACAGGGAAGCUGCGCCCAUGAAAUCUCAACAUUUUGGUUGCCGUUGAGAUCAGCAUGAUAGCAUCCAUCGUCA